UACCAGACUCCUACGGGAGGCAGCAGUGGGGAAUAUUGCACAAUGGGGGAAACCCUGAUGCAGCGACGCCGCGUGAGUGAAGAAGUAUUUCGGUACGUAAAGCUCUAUCAGCAGGGAAGAAAAAAAGUCCUUUGGACUUUGGACGGUACCUGACCAAGAAGCCCCGGCUAACUACGUGCCAGCAGCCGCGGUAAUACGUAGGGGGCAAGCGUUAUCCGGAUUUAUUGGGUUUAAAGGGUGCGUAGGCGGGACGGUAAGUCAGCGGUAAAAAUGCGGGGCUCAACUCCGUCGAGCCGUUGAAACUGCCGUUCUUGAGUGAGCGAGAAGUAUGCGGAAUGCGUGGUGUAGCGGUGAAAUGCAUAGAUAUCACGCAGAACUCCGAUUGCGAAGGCAGCAUACCGGCGCUCAACUGACGCUGAAGCACGAAGGCGUGGGUAUCGAACAGGAUUAGAUACCCCCGUAC
rnacentral:rRNA from 1 species